rnacentral:lncRNA from 1 species
CGAUGUCCCCCACAGCCAGGGCAAUCAGGUACGAGGGGAUGGGGUGCUCCAUCUUGAAGACAAAGGUGUUAUCUUUCUGCUUCUCCCAGGUCGUGGCGCUCAUCACGGCCGUGAAACCCUCGGGGACCUGGAGCUGUGCCGAGUAGGUGCUCUUCAUGGCGGGAGUGUGGAAGCCGGGGAAGAAGGAUCUGUUGAGCACAGGGAAGCCAGAGGUAUAGAGGAAAGGUUUCUCCUUCUGGGCCGUUUGGGAGGAGUCCAGCCAGGACAUCCCGGGCCCCUCUCCCGUCUCGUAGUCGAUCCGCACGACCAGCAGCUCCCCGGGCCGCGGCUCCUCGGGCAGCGCGAGGUGCAGCGCGGUGCCAUAGCUGGCGAACGGGCGGCUCUCGAAGCGCAGCUCCUGCCCUUCCCCUUCCCCUUCCCUUUCCCCGGCCCCGCCGGGCGGCAGCAGCCGCGCUCCGAGCACGGACAGCGCGGGGUGCGCGUCCAACACCACCUCUCUGCUCCCGGAGCGCACGCAGCGCAGCUCCAACCGCGCGGCCCCGCGCAGCCGCCCCGCACCCGCGGCCGCGAAGCCCACGCGGAGCGAUAAGUGCAGAUGCCGCAACGCGAACGGCGCCGCGCUGCCACCCGUGGCCGUGGCCGCGUCCCGGGCCGCCCCCACCGCCGCCAUUGCCG